AGUCCCACUGUGACGUGAUGAGGAGUCGACGCCUGCCGCAGGAUCUCGACUGCCAUGCUUCUUCUCGUAUCGACGCACCUGUACACAAAAACAGAGAAAGGGGGUAGACAGGCUGCUGGCAGAGCAGACUGUGAGUGAAGAGAAGCAGCGCUCAGGAGCCAGGGUCUGAGCACGGAGAGUCAUGGUGCUGUAGUUAAACCCACCACUAGAGGGCUCUGCAGCUUGUGGAAUGAGCUUCUGAAGACAUGAACACACCAGACCUGAUCAUGUCUUAGUCACACUGACCUCCCUUCUGCAGGUUCUGGGCCAAGCAGCCGGACAGAUGCGGUGGCCAAAAGACUUACGACACUGAGAUAGAUGGAGUUGCCAAUGGACCUCCCAGAAUAGCUGCUUGCUGAACUUUCUCAACGUGCCAUGAACCUGGAUGAACCCUCUGCAGCCGUUAGCUGCCCCUCAACAGAAUCAAGCCAUGAAUCAUUACAAGUCAGGGGUGAGGGCUCCGAGAUCACCUAAAUCAGAACCAGAUGCACAGCAGGCACCUCCUUAGGACUAACUG